rnacentral:tRNA from 1 species
GAGAAGAAUUCCAAUGUCGGUUGUUGGAGUUGGGCUGUAAACCCAUAAGUAAAAAACUUACGAGGGUUCGACUCCCUCUCUUCUCA